rfam:Camelus ferus unplaced genomic scaffold scaffold394, whole genome shotgun sequence.
GAGGGUAUAGCUCAGUGGUAGAGCACAUGCUUAGCAUGCACGAGGUCCUGGGUUCAAUCCCCAGUACCUUCA